CGAAAGACGGGUGAGAAUCCCGUCCACCGAUUGACUAAGGUUUCCAGAGGAAGGCUCGUCCGCUCUGGGUUAGUCGGGUCCUAAGCUGAGGCCGACAGGCGUAGGCGAUGGAUAACAGGUUGAUAUUCCUGUACCACCUAUAAUCGUUUUAAUCGAUGGGGGGACGCAGUAGGAUAGGCGAAGCGUGCGAUUGGAUUGCACGUCUAAGCAGUAAGGCUGAGUAUUAGGCAAAUCCGGUACUCGUUAAGGCUGA
rnacentral:rRNA from 1 species